GGGGCGGGCUCCCCUCCCGUUAUAACAUCUCCAGUUCUCUCCUGUUUUUACACUGAUGAAAGACACGUGGCAAGUAACAAAUCCUAAGAUUGGCAGAUCGAAACUUGAUGGCAAUGGGUUUGGGUCCUCCGGCGAGCUUGGGGAGGUGAGACAUCGGCUCUAAUAUGGAUUUCUGGCUGUGGGAGUUCCGAUGGGUUGUGGGUUUGGCAUGAGACUUCUGAAUAUGCUUUGAAAGCUGUGAAAGAAUCAGCCAUGGUAGCUUUGAAAGCUUCCUCUCCUUCUUCAAAGCUUUGAAAGCAGCCAUGAUAUUCUUCUCUAAUCUUUUAUUGCUUAAUUUUUUUUAUUGUUCAUUUAUCCAAUUAAUCGGCCUUUCUCUUCA